UGUAUGUAGAGGGCGGGACUCGAACUGAAAGGAACAAGGCGCGGCCAAGAACCCCUUCACACGUGUAGACAAAGAGACCAUCAACACAACCCAAACAUGCAGGGAAAGUUUUCCAGGACCUCGCGAAGCGCCCAGGCCAGCAUGCACGGGUCUGCGAGUACUGGAUAACUUCUGCUUUCAACGGACGCCCUUUGAAGGAUUUAUUUAAUGAUUAUUUUUCACUGUGGAAUAUUAUUACUGUCCUUCGGGAUUAUUGGACUAUUCAUAAUGAGAAUGAUUACUUUCAACGUAUAGACACCAUGGACAAACAAAAGACCGCUGCGAACACUGCAGCCACUGUGUGCUAGCGACAGCACAAAGACCACAUCAGAGCACAAUCUGAGGAAUCCAGGCAGCAGUGACAGAUGAAACCCCGCUGAACUCUGGGAAAUGCAGUUGAGGGCUGUUUGAUGGAGCAGAAUUCAUCAGAUCCAUCCUUAGCUGCUUCACAGCUAACUCACAUGCAGUGUUGAAUCAGAUCGGAUCUGCUGCAGCGGUGACGAGAGGAACAGGAUGAUUCGCUCAAGAGAAAUCGUCUGGCAUGAGGGGUUCAGGGUGUUUUUGCAGCUCUUGCUGACUGAUCAAGAGAAGCAGAAGCACUUCACGCUUGUGUUUUUGUGAUCUCCUGGCAGUUUGCUCGCGUCCCACGCUCUGAGUCAAACCUUCUAGCGCUGAUACAGGACCAGCCUCUGUAGACCCAGCAGAGCCGUCUGAGAGAGCGUGAAGCUGAGCUCAGAUCAGCAACAGACGCAGAGAAUCGAGCCUCUUCCUCAGGAAGAAGCAGGCCUGACUGUGUGGCAUGCAGGUCUCCUCCAGCCGGAUGUUUGCAGAGCUCAGUGGCACACCUGCUGCAGGACGAUGUUUGCUGGGCCUGCUGUGGUUGAGAUCUGUUGCUGAAGUGAAACAGCUUGGCUCUCUUCCAGAGGAUGCACUGUGAGAUAUUUAUAGAAAGGACAGCGCUGGUGUUUGAAUGCUUGAACAGAAUGUUCAUGCCAAUCCAGGUGGCUGCUGCUGGUUAGCGUUGGUUUGAUGUUGGCUUUGAUGGUUUGCCCACACAGUCACACUGUGUUUUACAGUCUCUGCACUGGCUACCUAUUAAAUUCCGUAUCAGUUA